CGAGGAGAGCUAGCGUUAUCCGGAAUUAUUAGGCGUAAAGCGUGCGCAAGCGGACCUUCAAGUCAUAAGUUAAAUCCUGGAGCUUAACUCCAGAAUCGCUUGUGAUACUGUCGGUCUUGAGAAGAGAAGAGGCAAACGGAAUUCCCGGUGUAGUAGUGAAAUGCGCUGAUAUCGGGAGGAACACCAAAAGCGAAAGCAGUUUGCUGGUCUUUUUCUGACGCCGUUGCACGACAGCGUGGGGAGCAAACGGGAUUAGAUACCCCGGUAGUCCACGCCGUAAACUUUGGAUACUAGGGGCUGGGAGUAUCGACCCUCUCGGUCUCGUAGCUAACGCGUUAAGUAUCCCGCCUGGGUAGUACGGCCGCAAGGCUA
rnacentral:rRNA from 1 species